rnacentral:tRNA from 1 species
GGUUCUGUGGCUUAGUUGGUUAAAGCGUCGGUCUAGCUAAUACGAAGUCGUGGGUUCGUAUACCACCAGGACAU